GGCCGGUGAUGUGAGAAAUCAUAUUUGCUACUCUUGAUUGGAAAUGAUCCACAUGUGAUGCUUCUUAUACACCAAGAUCUCUGAGGCC